UUUAUACUUGAUCUAAUGACAUGUUUGUGAACUUGCAAGAACCUGGUUAUCCUUAAAUUUUUGGCAUUCAAUAUUAGUGUUCAUUCUCAGUUAAAGUGGAUUUAGAAAUAGGCACACGACAGAAUAUAGCCUAUGAUGGCCUUCUCUAGGCUUGGUGCCAAUUUAGGGCGGCUAAACUGCGUCAGUUGUAGUUUUUGGCCAGAUCUCUUGUGAUCCUCUGGUUUAGAAAUCCUUUUUGCACCAGUGCUCAACUGAAUCUUAUUGAAGAUUAGUUCUCUAGGCUUUUUGCACCAGUGCUCAACUGAAUCUCUAUAAGGAUUUUGGUUAGUUUUAUCUACUGCAGUAAGAGAUUCAUGAACUUUUUAGGUUUUCUUUAUGCUUGAAUUUUCGAUGCCAAGUUUAAUUAUUUGGGAUAAAAAAAAAGGUUGGUUCAGUUUCAUGAAGCCAUCUCUUAGGUAAGUUACUGUACCCGAAGUAGCAUAGGAACUUCAAUUCACUAACCAUGUCACUCUAGAAUAACACACAUGGUAAGGACAUAAAUUUUGCAAGGUUCCGUACCUUGCAAAAUUUAUGUCCUUACCAUGUGUACAGUAACUUGCCUUGUCCUUACCUACCAUGCUUCAAUCUCUUACAACUACCUGCUUCCUCCAAAUCCAGAAACCAAACAUAUGGAUGCUCCAAAUGCCUCAUAUACUGAUAAACACUCAAAUUUAAAAAUAGUAACUAUGUUUCAUCCAAAGAAUUCAAGUGACUUAUAUGUCGAUAAUACCCGGCUAAAGAUUUCGCAAAAUAUGCUUCCAUGUACAAUGGCAACUUUUUUUUCCUAUUGAUAGUACAUAUGAAUCAGCAGCAACCUUUAUUCAAUCUAAAUUGACCAAUGCAAACUAAUUGAUAAUGCCAAAUAAAAUUGGAAGGAAUUGUAUGCGCGCUGCUCUAGGACAAUGACAUCCUCACAGUUCUCACUGUGCCAAAUAGAAUUCGGACUGUUAUUUUAUUAUUUUUGUUUGAGAAAUUUCCAUAUAAAAUGUGUUCAUGUUAGUGUGUUCAAUUUACUUAAAUCCUUGAUGACCAUUAUAGUUUGUUGUCUGCAGAGUAAAAUUAGUGAGCAUAUUUACGCGAGCUCAUAGACUAAUCACCUUGCCACUGAUGUUUCAGGGAAAAAAUGGUUCCAGCUAAAAGCUCUGCAUUUUGAUCAGGAGUAGGACAACCAUUCCAAAGACUUUACAUUCAGCACUGCCUGUGCCGGAAGAUAUAAUAGGCAGUACUAAGAUAUAGCUGUACAUUGCACAUGAGAAAUAAUUGUACUAUUAUAUAUGCCUGCUAAUAUAUAGACAUACCACGCUAAUGCUAUAUUUAUAUAUAUUAAUGCCGUCCUACCUUAAUCUAA